rnacentral:rRNA from 1 species
UACGGGGGGGGCAAACGUUGUUCGGAAUUACUGGGCGUAAAGGGCGCGUAGGCGGUUUGCUAAGUUGAAUGUGAAAACUCUGGGCUUAACCCAGAGCCUGCAUUCAAUACUGGCAGGCUAGAGUUCUGGAGGGGAUAGCGGAAUUCCUGGUGUAGCGGUGAAAUGCGUAGAUAUCAGGAGGAACACCGGUGGCGAAGGCGGCUAUCUGGACAGAGUCUGACGCUGAGGCGCGAAAGCUAGGGGAGCAAACAGG